CUCAGCUGUAGGUGCCUGCCUAGGGUUGCCUUGUACCUAAGCAAGUGUUACACAGCUGGGAGACAAGCAGCCAGGAGCUGACUGACAUU
rnacentral:snoRNA from 1 species